rnacentral:rRNA from 1 species
AGAGAGAGACAUGCGCGCAUAUCAAUAAGCGGAGGAAAAGAAACUAACAAGGAUUCCCCUAGUAACGGCGAGUGAAGCGGGAAGAGCUCAAAUUUGAAAUCUUCAAGGUUCUACCUUGACGAACUUGUAGUUUAUAGAAGUGUUUUCUGUUAGGGAGUUUGGUAAAAGUUCUUUGGAAUAGGACAUCAUAGAGGGUGAGAAUCCCGUAUUUGGUCAUUCCUUCUAGCGUUGUGAUACACUUUCAACGAGUCGGAUUGUUUGGGAAUGCAUGUCCAAAAUGGGUGGUAAAUUUCAUCUAAAGCUAAAUAUUGGCGAGAGACCGAUAGCGAACAAGUACCGUGAGGGAAAGAUGAAAAGAACUUUGAAAAGAGAGUUAAACAGUACGUGAAAUUGUCAAAAGGGAAGCGUUUGACACCAGUGUUGUUUUUCCGAAAAUCAAUUACGAAUGUUUUAUUUUUGAGAGUUAUGACUUCAUCGGCUUGCUCCUUCUCUUUACGAAACUUUCUUAAUGCACUUUUCGGUUAACAAGUCAACAUCAAUUUCUUUUGUUGUAAAAGGGUAUGAGGAAGGUGGCUUUCUUUUCGGAGAAAGUGUUUAUAGCCUUGUGCCUCUGCAAUCGGAGAGAUUGAGGUCUGCAGCGUAGAUCCUUCGGGGUUAGAUACAUUUGUGCUAAGUUAUAGCUUUUCAUAGACAACUUGUUGACUAUGUUUAGUCUUGUAGCUUACUCGCUUAUGCUAUUUUACCUACGCUUAGGAUGUUGAUAGUCACAGCGUGUAC